UUGUAAGCAGGUUCACUAUGGUCUUCUUCUUUAGGCCUUGAAAAACCUUUAUUCUGUUGGCCAUUUUGGAUGCUGUAAGAAAAUACUUGAGUUUUGCUUUAACUCAGCGUUGAGCUGAAGUAGUUUGUCGAAGUUAAUACAUUCCUUACCUAAUAGUCAUCUGCAGAGGAUACAUCCCAGGAGUGAGGAGCUGGGGUCACCAUCCCAUUUGAAAGAGAUGACUGCAUAGACUUUAUCAGAGUGCUGGGGAGACGCUGGGAUGUUUCCCCAGUGCACUUGAGUCAUGGUGGGUUUUUUUAUUCCUGUCUGAAAGAGCAAACCUCCCUGUUAAGGGUGAGAUUAUCUUUUUCUAGCUCUUCCUUUUCUUACAAGCAGCUCUUGGUUUGCUGGGAAUGCAAGUAGUUUACCAGCAGUCAUGUCAGAAAGUUUGUUAGCAUCAUACUCCUUCUUUCAUUCAGAAAGCAGCAAAGAAAAUUAUUGCUGCCAUGUCCUGAUCUGACCCAGCUGUACUACUUGUACUACAGAAUCCUGCCUGCUAAACAAAAGAAAUCUGCUCUAUAUUCAUUACAAAUCCAAAAUGCAGGACCAUACCAACCACUAUGAAGAAAAUUAAUUUUCUCAGUCCAAACUAGGACACUCAUUUAGGAAAGAUGAGACAUGGACUUUCUUCUUUUGCUACAUAUUUUCUACUUUGAAAUCAUACUUAGAUAUUUUCAGAUGUUUAUCUGUUGUGCAUAAUAAGAUUGCAGUGGGAAGAGAAGUGGGUAAUUGAUUAGGUUUCUCAAGCAGGUCCUGAGACAGUGGAGUGAUCGUCUAUUGAUUCACAAUGUAUGGACUUCAGUUAGUAAUAAAUGAGGGAAGUGUAGUGUUCCUUUCCAAACUCAAUACAAUGUACAAUUUUCAGGUGUGACUUUGUGUUCUAGUGCAUUCUGCUUGCAACAAAUGCUACUGAAAUGAAUCAGCCCCUGGAGGAGAUGCACAGGAAAGUAACAUGGCAAGAUCCACAGCCACUGGGGAGCCCUGGUAGCAGCAAGGAUCUGGAGAACCUGUCUCGGAAAUUGGGAAGUCCUACAGCAGUGCAUCCAUCCCAUAGUUGUGGUCACCAAAGUCACUGCAAGCAUGUUCAGCUUUUAUAGCACUGAAUAAACAAAUCUGCAUAAUAAUCA
rnacentral:lncRNA from 1 species